GGCUGGGUGGCAGAAUGGUUUAUGCGAAGGACUGCAAAUCCUUUUAUACCGGUUCAAUUCCGGUCCCGGCCU
rnacentral:tRNA from 1 species